AAAGUUUUAGUAUAAGUUUUUUAAAGUAUAAACUAUUGUCAAUAGUUAGGUAGAAACUUUA
rnacentral:tRNA from 1 species